rnacentral:rRNA from 1 species
GACGAACGCUGGCGGCGUGCUUAACACAUGCAAGUCGAGCGGUAAGGCCCUUUCGGGGGUACACGAGCGGCGAACGGGUGAGUAACACGUGGGUGACCUGCCCUCAGCUCUGGGAUAAGCCUGGGAAACCGGGUCUAAUACUGGAUAUGACUCCAUGACGCAUGUUGUGGGGUGGAAAGCCUUGUGCGGCUGAGGAUGGGCCCGCGGCCUAUCAGCUUGUUGGUGGGUGAUGGCCUACCAAGGCGACGACGGGUAGCCGGCCUGAGAGGGCGACCGGCCACACUGGGACUGAGACACGGCCCAGACUCCUACGGGAGGCAGCAGUGGGGAAUCUUGCGCAAUGGGCGAAAGCCUGACGCAGCGACGCCGCGUGAGGGAUGACGGCCU